rnacentral:rRNA from 1 species
GUAACAAGUUCCGUAGGUGAACCUGCGGAAGGAUCAUUA